AUGAGUAGCAUGUCGUGUUAUACCCUGGCAGAAGGUGGAAGCAUCUUCCCAUCUGGCGACGAACUCGUUGGGAAUCAAAAGACAGAGCAAGGAAAUUACUGGACACAAUGGAAUUCAAGGCUAUCUGAUGAUUUGAACACAACAAGCCUAUACUCAGACGAGCAUGAGAAUGGCAUCGAGCAAUGUUUCGACGACGCCGAUGAACAUGAGAGGAGCAGCCAACAGGAGAGGUCGUCAGCAUGUGCCAGAGUUGCAUCUUCAGAUUGCAGCACAGGGCCUUCAGAAGAACAAUCUGAGGGGCCAGCGCCGUUGGAACUACAACACUGCAAGGAAACAAACGACAUCUUCUUGAGUCAAUUUUCGGAUGAUGAAAUGAGGAUGAUGGAUGCGCCGUUUCAGGCACUUGAUAUGUUCCCUGGCUCCAUGCACAGGCUGUUGUCCUAUGAGAACAUGCUGAGUGGAGUAUUGACUGAUUCUCAAAAUCAAGAAGCAAAUCCGGGUCAUAAUGAAAUGGACACCAUGGAUACUUGCGGCUUUCCUUUGUUCAGCCAUGACUUGCAAAAUGAUCCUAGCAGUGCUGAUGGCAGCUUACAAACACUACUGAGUGCCUCCCAGGACAAGGCUGAGGUGAGCACCAUGAAGAGGAGUAGAUCAGUGGCCGAUAUAGAGAGCUCCUCCAACGGGGAAGUAGCAGUGCUUGAGGAACUUGAAGAUGUCAUGUUUCAGCUGACAAAGAAGACACGUGUAUGCCUCCGUGACGCUUUCUACAGGCUGGCUGAAAGCUCGGAAGUGCAGUGCACUGCUGUAAAUGGAGGGACACUGACGUGCUCAAACGAGCAAAGUUUUCAGCAAUCAGAGGGCACCGAAUCUAGCACCUCGACAUCAGACCGUGCAGAACGGGAGACGAACGCGAUAGACAGAACCGUGGCAAUCCUCGCGUUCAAGCCGGCUUCCUCAGCUGCAUGGGAAUGA
rnacentral:rRNA from 1 species